CGCGCGGGUUGGGGUAGCUGUUGUGCGCAGGCGGGCGCCGGGAGCUGCAAGGGCCGGGGGCCGGGCUUGGCCCACGUGCGUCGCGGAAUCGGGAGCAGGGCGGCGCGCCGCGUCUCUCCCCUCCUCUCUUCGCCGGGUGGGAGGCGGUAACAGCUAGGCUGGGGCCGGGCGGCGGCUGCCCGCCAUGCCUCCCGGGCUGCUGUGAGGCGCAAGGCGCAGCAACAUGGGGCCGGAUCCGGGCUGGGCCGCACUGGUGUUGCUUUUCGCCGCUUCGCUGCUCACGGUCGCGGCCUGGCUGCUCCAGUACUGGCGGUCGGCGGCUCUGCGAUCGCCUCGGCGGCAGGUGCCGGCGACGGAGGAGGCCGGGGCCCGGGCGCUGCUCGCUGCGCUGCUCGCUCUUCGGUCCCUGCGUGAGCAGUGGCAGCGGGCCUGGGUGCGAGCCCUCAACAGCCAGGCGCGCCGGCACGGGAGUUCAGUGCAGAUCACAUUUGAAGAGGGUCCUCAAUUACCACCAGCAGCAAAUAUAAGCUGUGUGACUUGCAAAGGCCAGUCAGGUCACAGCAUGGUGCUGUGUUGUCAUCUGUCAGCUGAAGCUGUGAAGUUCCCGGUCUCUGUCACCCAGCAGUCUGCAGUUGCUGUUUCUGUGGACACAUAUCAUGUCACUUUGGCUCUGCUCCAGGCUGAGGUGGAGAUCCACUUGGAGGAGAUACAGAAUCAGGGUCUCCUGGUGUCAUGGACAUUCAAGGACAGACCAGACUUGGAUCUUUCAGUUCUUCCAAGACUUCAGCCUUGUGAGAAGAACGAAGGGAAAGCGGAUCUGUCCACCAUAAAGGAUCUAAUCGAGGAUACUAUUGUCAGCACGCAGCCAGCCAUGAUGGUGAAUCUGAAGGCUUGCACAGCUGGAACUGGCACAGUAUCCAGCAGUAAGGUGACCCAAGAGUCUCCAUACAGUGUAGUAGAAGCCCCUCUGGGUUCAAAGCUGUUGCUCCGGAAUCUUCGUGUGCUGAACUUAGGCUCACAGAGGAGUGGAGGAGUUGGGGAGAUACGCUGUGUUGCAGAACUAGACAGUCCCCCGCAACAGAAACGGACAAGGCCAGCGAGAGCUGGUAGCACUGGCAUUGCUGCAGAGAUGGAGUGGAAUGAAGAGCUGUUUCUUGAGUUAGGACCCAGAAGUAAGGAGCUGAAGUUACAGGUGCUGGGGAAAAGCUGCAAAGGGGAAGAUGUGCUGCUGGCACAUACUACUCUUUUGCUUGAUUCUUUGGGCAAACAGCCCUCUGGGAGACAGGUCUGCUCGCUGGCCUCAGGAGCUGGGCAACCACUGGCAGCUGAAGCUACCAUUGUAUUGGAGCUUUUAUACCAGGAUUCUUCUGCAUCUCUGAAUGCUCAGCAUGCCACAUCUCUGCAUACCAGCAUCACCCCCACAAAGAAGGUGGAGAUGGACCGGACCAUCAUGCCUGACGGCACCAUUGUGACUACUGUCACCACAAUUCAGUCCCGACCCAAGGUGGAUUGUAAGCUGGAUUCACCUUCAAGGUCACCAUCCAAGGUGGAAGUGACAGAAAAGAAGACAACAGUGCUUUUGGAAAGCAGCUGUCCUCACAACUCCUUGUCCAGCAGCAGCCGAGACAGCCAGAUGCCCAAUGGCUUGGAUCCAGUGGCUGAGACGGCAAUCAGGCAGCUAACUGAGACAAAUAACAAGCCUGCCAAGAAGACCCCAACAAAACGUAGCACGCUGAUCAUCUCAGGAGUUUCCAAGGUACCUCUUGCUCAAGAUGAAAUGGCACUUUCUCUGGGUUAUGCUGCAUCCAUGGAGGCCACAGUAUAUGGAGAUACUGGGGCAGUCUGUGCAUCUGACCAGGUGCAUGAUUCCACUGAGUCAUCACAGCUGCUGGAAGCAUCACCAUCAGAACAAAGAGCCGGUCAGGAGCUGGAUGAGACGACGCGAUCUGACAUCUCUGAGAGACCGUCUGUGGAAGAUGUUGAAUCUGAAACUGGCUCCACAGGAGCCCUUGAGACCAGGAGCUUGAAAGAUCACAAAGUUAGCUUUCUUCGGAGUGGUACCAAACUCAUCUUUCGGAGAAAGAGCAAACAGAAGGAAGCUGGCCUCAGCCAGUCACAUGAUGACUUGUCCAACGUCACCGCUGGUUCUGCCACCAAGAAGAAAGCUGGCAGCUUCUCCCACCGCCUCAUCAAACGUUUCUCCUUCAAGUCUAAAUCCAAACCUAAGACUAGUGACAACACAACAACAGAGAAGGAGCUGUUACUGGGUAGCUGUCGAGAUGCUUGACUGCUGGGUGGAUGGUAUUUGCUUCUGGGAUCUUUUGCUGUGUUCCUCCUCUCCCUGCCCCUAGUUCAUGCCCAUGGCUACGGGAGGUGACUGUUCCCCGCUGGCUGGGAGAAUGCUGCACCAGACCUGACCACUGAGGAGAAGGAAGAGUAUAGAGGUGCCAAGCGCUGCAACAGACCUCUUGGGAGUUGUGUGCAUUAGUGGCUUACUUUGCACUUGGCAAGUGGCUGUACUGAGUGAAGGAGCCUUACAUAUUGUGGGGGUCUGGUGGUGGCGUUGUGCUCUCAAGGGCUGUAUCAGUGGAAUGGUUCUGGAGAAGCCAUGUGUUUGGACGAGAAGAGAGUGGUGAUGGGGGAACAGCUGCUCUACACAGGGCCAGUGGUGGCUACAGGAUGUGGGAUGGGAGGAGGAAGGGAGUGAUGGUGGUUGGGCUGCAUUCGGUUUGCUGCCUGAGAGCUGUGGAUGUUGCAAGCUGAGGGAGAAAAAGGAGAGGGAUUGGGGCUGUACCUGGGCCAUGGGGCCCACGAGAAAGUAUCCUGUGACCAAGGUGGUAAGUGACAUGGGAUUGGGAUGUGGCUUUAGGACUGAUUGGUGGGAUUGUGCUGAGUAGGUCUCGGGAAAAGACCCAAUGAGGGUCUUGGUUGUGCUGGAGGUGUGGAACAAGGGUGGAGAUGUUCCAGUUUCGUAAGUAGGACAUGUACUUUGGGAGACCAACAGAAUGAAUUAAGGCCAGUUAACGCGAAGAGCUCCUGGCCUUGGGUCUUGCUUGCUCUGUCUUGCUGGAAAAUAUUUCCUGAGACUUACAGGGUUUCCUCACAGUAAGUUCAUAAUCUGUUCCACUUACUUAGCGUGUAUCCCUGGAAGGAUGAUUGUAGGAGACAAGAUCUGAAGCAUUUUAAAAACAAAUAAAACACCAGAAAAGAAAACCCAAACCAAACUAUAUUGACCCAGUGAAGGCAGCAGAUUAAACGUUGGAAGGCUUAGUUCAUUUGUUUGUUUUGGUUAAAUUAGUCACGAAUUUGCACAAUUCAUGUUUUCACAUUUUGGAUGCUGUCAGUCACGUUAGUUCAUUCUGUAAUUUGGAAAAGAAGAAUUAACUUUGUUCUUUAGGAAUUAAGCUCUCUUUCUUUAGCCCAUACUUCAUCGCUCAGGGAGGUGCUAUUUUUGAUCUAAUGUAACGCCUUCCUAAAAUUCAGUCCAAUCUCAAUUCUCUACUGUCUAGUUACAAGAACUUCCAACAGACUGCAAAGUCAGGCUUUACAGGCCAGAGGUGGAGCUAACACGGAGGCCUCUGGAUUU